rnacentral:rRNA from 1 species
AUGCAAUCUAUCAUGCCGGCUUUCAAAACUGCCCCUGGCAUGCAAGUGAAGCCUAGUAAGAGGGCAAAAAAGAGUAAGCCAUCCCGAGACCCGGUCGUGGCUGAAAUGGAGCUUGGCACGACUGCUCCUGAUAGUUCUACCCAUCAGCCGCCGCCUAAACCAGCCUAUGACAUUCCAGCUCUAACCUCUGAUCCACACGCCAAAAAUACUCUCAACAUCUCUGAUAACCUGGAAGCUCCUAGCCCGGCCAAGACAAUUGAUCCGGACAUUGAGAUUCUGAAGACUCACUUUGUUGAGCCAGGGCGACCCACUGUCCUUGCCAAGUGCUCUGCUAAGGAGGAACUUCUGGAACACCGAAAGGCCAAGCUAGACAUUGCUGACUAUACUCAUUUAAGUAUUGGAGAUAUAGUCUCUGACUAUCUCAAUCAAGUACAUAGCAGCCGUGACCUGGAAAUUGACAUGGUGAAGCAAAUACAGCAAAAAUCUGAGGCCACCAUAAGUCAAUUUGAGUCGGAAACUUCUGAUCUGAAGAAGCUCCUGGCAGCUCAAGAACUUGAAAUUCAAAAGGCCAACUCCAAAUUCGAAUUCAGUGUCUGUGAGCAAGAAAAAUUGAAGAAGAACUUUGAGGCGGAGAAGAAAAUCUGGGCUGAUGAAAAAGCUUCACUGGUGACCCAGACCGAGACGGCAGAGGCAUUGCUUGCAGAAGCAACAACGGAGUUGUCCGGCUUAAAGCGCCAGAUAUCUCAAAUGGUCUCAACAAUCUUUGGCCCUAGGAGCACAAAUCUCAAGCAGAACAUGUUGAUCAAGCUGAAGGCGGUUUAUACUCUUGUGGAGCAGCUCUACACCAGGUCACAACAUGCUCUGGCCAUUGUAGCUUUAUCAGAUGACGUUCCUUACCUCCUGCAAGACAUGCUUAAACAGCUUGCUUCACUACCUCAACGGGUCCAAGAUCUAAGGCGGGCGUCCGCAAGAGCCGGGGCCGUAGCUGCAUUGAGCCGGGCUAAAGCAUGGAUUCCGGAACUAGACCCGGCCGACCUCGCUCUUGGAUACCCCAGUCUUAAAGAAGAUGGGACCGUAUUUGAUGAACAUGACUUCACCGCCUGUGUCAAAGAUAUACGCCCCGUGGCUACUCUUAUCGGGAACGAUACUGAUCUUACCAAGUAUCAGCCGGGCUAUGACAGCGAGAAUCGGAGAAUCCCAACACCUCCCUAUGAUGAAGUCAGCCUAAUCCCUCCAACUCGUAAGCAUACCUUUGCCCCUGAAGUGGAUCCAGCUGGUUUAAUAGAUGAUGAAGCCGAGUUUGAAGCCUUGAGUGGCAUUGACUGGGCCUCGUCAACCUUCCAGGACAAAGCAGCCGACGGAGAGGCGGAGAAGGAUAACCCGGAAUCUUCAAGCCCACCAGAGGAGUGA